rnacentral:rRNA from 1 species
AACGAACGCUGGCGGCAUGCCUAACACAUGCAAGUCGAACGAGACCUUCGGGUCUAGUGGCGCACGGGUGCGUAACGCGUGGGAACCUGCCCUUAUGUUCGGAAUAACACCCCGAAAGGGGUGCUAAUACCGGAUAAUGUCCUCGGACCAAAGAUUUAUCGACUUUGUAUGAGCCCGCGUUGGAUUAGCUAGUUGGUAGGGUAAAAGCCUAUCAAGGCGACGAUCCAUAGCUGGGCUGAGAGGAAGAGCAGCGACACUGGGACUGAGACACGGCCCAGACUCCUACGGGAGGCAGCAGUGGGGAAUAUUGGACAACGGGCGAAAGCCUGAUGCAGCAAUGCCGCGUGAGUGAUGAAGGCCUUAGGGUUGUAAAGCUCUUUUACCCGGGAUGAUAAUGACAGUACCGGGAGAAUAAGCACCGGCUAACUCCGUG